CUGCAUUUCUUUCCCUCUCUACAUUUUUUGUUUCCACAAUUUCUCUUUUCAUCUUCACAAGAAGACUAGCACUUCCUUUUUGUCUUUAUAUUUUAUUCAUGCAUUUUUUUUUUAUGACAAGGGAGCCCGCAACCGCUACUCUUCGGGUGCACAGGGUAAACCCCGCUCCUGUGCAAUAGCCCGCAAAACACACAGGAGAGAUAACCCGCACUAGACAAGUCCCGUGCGACGAGCUCGACCCAGAAGGCAAAUCCCAUGCUGUCAUAGGCACGGGGUUUCGAACCGAAGACCAGCAUUAUGGAAGCCCCCAUCCUCAACUAGCUGAGCCACCCUUGCCUUUACACUUAUUCAUACAUUGCCUUUUACAUUCACUCAUACAUUGUCUUUAUAUUUAUACAUAUAUAUUGUCUCUAGAUUUUCUUUAUAUAUAUUGUCUCUAUGCUUUCUUUACAUUUGCAUAUAUUUUCUAUACCCUUGUAUAUAUUUUUUUCUAUAUAUAUACUGUCUCUACGCUUUCUUUACAUUUGCAUAUAUUUUUUAUACCCUUGUAUAUAUUUUCUUUACACUUGCAAGCAUUUUUUUUACCUUUUCGUCAAUACCAUCACGCUAAAUGCCCAUUUUUAUCUCUAAACAUGUACUUGUAAACCGAGUUGAAUUGAACAUAGUACAAUUCCAAAAAAUAUUAGGCUCUCUUUUAUUUUUAUUCCAUCACAAUUUUUACAUUGCUAUAUUUAAGCUAAUUGAUUUGUACAAUAAUUAUUUGUUAACUAUAACAUCAUUUUUUUAAUCAUAAAUCAAAUACUUUAUUACAGUAUACAUCUCUUCAAUUCACGUGGACGUAAUUUUUUAUACCCAUUUAUUUUGGUAACUUUCUCAUGCUCUGCUUAUUCUUUAACUAAUUUUUUGUUAAUCACAUAUUUAUUAAAGGAUUAUUUCUCGUCCCUCUAAUAAUUUUUUACAUAUUUUAGUUCAAAAAAAGCAAUCACAAGUCCCGUUUUUUAAUUCAUUUAAAUUCAAAUUCUUUGACGUUUAGUUGUUAAUACAUAUUUCUUACACCGUUAUUCAGCACAUAUUUUAUUUAUUUACCUCAUUGCACAUAUCUUAUACUCAUAUACUUUGUACUACAUCCCAUUCUUAUUGAUUAUUAUUUAGCACGAAUUCUUUCUAAAAUAAAUUGUAAAUACUAACAUUUUUUACACAAUUCCUCAUUUAAUCAAAUUAGGUCCAACCAAGAACCGCGCUUUAGCGGAUUCUAAAGAAUGUCUAACCCCUUCCCUUUAGGAUAACUUGAACCCGUGCCUAGAAUCCCACUUGUUUUCACAGAACAUUUUUUGAGUUACAUAUAUCAAUAAUUUAUAGGUACCCUAGUAUACCUUAAAUACUGCAUGGCAACUCUUUUACUCUAUUUUAACUUGUUAGAGUCCCAUAAGUUGUAAUUUAGUUAACCUGUGUAAAAUAGGGUGCAACAAUGACAUUUAACAUUCUCCUUCAAUUAGACAAGAUGGAAGGAAGAAGAUUCUGUCACAUAACAUCUAGAAAAGUCUAGUCAAACACUACAAUACCAUCCUUCAAGUGACCACUUUGAAAUAUCAUAAAUAUUAAUUAGAGCAUCCAAUUGAAGCAGACAGAGAGCUACUCAUGGAACAUCGACCAAAAGGUAAGUGGUUGAAGAGACAACUAAUACCUGCUGGGUCAUUGCCUGAACUGGCAUAACAGGAAUAGCUCCAAGCUGCCACAAACAAAUAUAUGUUUAAAAUCAUUCAACAAAUAAAGAACAAAAUAUUGUUGUUCCGACAAGGAGAAAAUACCGGUCCAGAUGCCAAAGGGAACAUGUUAGGAAAAAUUCCAGGAAUAGCUGGGGCAGUGCCUGGGAGUUGACCUGCAGAAACUUCUCAUAGAGAUAAAAAUGAGGACAUUUCUUUGUUCAUCAAUGAGAGGACCAUUAGAAACACAUAGAUCUGUUUUUUACUUUGGCUGAUAUAAUUAGAACAUUUUUUUUAUGUUUCCUCAAAUAAUUCUUCAGUAAAUACUACAAAAGUAAUUCACAACAUAUUCAGGUAUUCGAGAUAUUACUUGAAAGCUACCAAACAAAAAAUCCCUGGUUGAAGAUGAACGAGACCUUUUAUUGUCUUCCUUGAACAUAAAAGCUAGAGUGGUUGGCUCACGCCCAUUGUCAGCACAGUGGGGCUACUAGCCCAACGUUGCCUUCUUAGAACAUAAGACAUGACAUAC